rnacentral:rRNA from 1 species
GACAGAGGGCGCAAACGUUGCUCGGAAUCACUGGGCGUAAAGGGCGUGUAGGCGGGUAGGAAAGUCAAAUGUGAAAUCCCUGGGCUCAACCCAGGAACUGCAUUUGAAACUCCCUUUCUUGAGUGUCGGAGAGGAAAGUGGAAUUCCUGGUGUAGAGGUGAAAUUCGUAGAUAUCAGGAGGAACACCGGUGGCGAAGGCGGCUUUCUGGACGACAACUGACGCUGAGACGCGAAAGCGUGGGGAGCAAACAGG